rnacentral:rRNA from 1 species
CGGACGGGUGAGUAAUGUCUGGGAAACUGCCCGAUGGAGGGGGAUAACUACUGGAAACGGUAGCUAAUACCGCAUAACGUCGCAAGACCAAAGAGGGGGACCUUCGGGCCUCUUGCCAUCGGAUGUGCCCAGAUGGGAUUAGCUAGUAGGUGGAGGACGCUACCUAGGCGACGAUCCCUAGCUGGCUGAGAGGAUGACCAGCCACACUGGAACUGAGACACGGUCCAG